CCUUCGGGAGCUUUUAUACAGGUGCUGCACGGCUGUCGUCAGCUCGUGUCGUGAGAUGUUGGGUUAAGUCCCGCAACGAGCGCAACCCUCGUCACUAGUUACUAACGGUUCGGCCGAGGACUCUAGUGAGACUGCCUUCGUAAGGAGGAGGAAGGUGAGGACGACGUCAAGUCAUCAUGGCCCUUACGGCUAGGGCAACACACGUGCUACAAUGGCCAGGACAGUGAGAAGCGAUACCGCGAGGUGGAGCAAAUCUAUAAACCUGGUCUCAGUUCGGAUUGUAGUCUGCAACUCGACUACAUGAAGCUGGAAUCACUAGUAAUCGUAGAUCAGCUAUGCUACGGUGAAUACGUUCCCGGGUCUUGUACUCACCGCCCGUCACACCAUGGGAGUUGAUUUCACCCGAAGCGGGGAAGCUAAACUGGCUACCCUCCACGGUGGAAUCAGCGACUGGGGUGAAGUCGUAACAAGGUA
rnacentral:rRNA from 1 species